GGUAAGCGGAGUACAGUGACCUGCGGAGGAUCAUUAACAAUCCUACAAUCACAACGCAUGACAUACGCUGGCUGAAUGGCGCAGGGUCCCUCCUGCCCAAGGUUCAGCUUUGCGGUAUGUUCAUGUCGUUCCGAUUAAAUCCUCUCUGUGAUACUUCUACCAGUUGCUUCCAUGCGUGAGCUCUCUGAGAUUAUGCAUGGGACUACAAUAUAACAUCGUGUUCUGUGGUUCCAGUCUGAGUGGUAACUCACAAUAUAACAAGUUAAAACUUUCAACAACGGAUCUCUUGGUUCUCGCAUCGAUGAAGAACGCAGCGAAAUGCGAUAAGUAGUGUGAAUUGCAGAAUUCAGUGAAUCAUCGAAUCUUUGAACGCACAUUGCGCCUUCUGGUAUUCCGGGAGGCAUGCCUGUUCGAGCGUCAUGAAAAGCAUCCUCAAGCAUUUUGGCUUGGUUGUGGGAGAAGAUGGUUUCCAUCUCUCCUGGAAAGUCUCAGCAGAAGGCCUUGCAACCUCCGGUGUGAUAAAACCUAUUCACCUGAUGGUUACAAAGCCGUCCCGCUGUAUAGAAGCCCCCCCAGCAUUUUCUACAUGUUUGACCUCGGAUCAGGUAGGGAUACCCGCUGAACUUAAGACAAAAGG
rnacentral:rRNA from 1 species